rnacentral:rRNA from 1 species
UUAAGCGACUAAGCGUACACGGUGGAUGCCCUGGCAGUCAGAGGCGAUGAAGGACGUGCUAAUCUGCGAAAAGCGUCGGUAAGGUGAUAUGAACCGUUAUAACCGGCGAUGUCCGAAUGGGGAAACCCAGUGUGAUUCGUCACACUAUCGUUAACUGAAUACAUAGGUUAACGAGGCGAACCGGGGGAACUGAAACAUCUAAGUACCCCGAGGAAAAGAAAUCAACCGAGAUUCCCCCAGUAGCGGCGAGCGAACGGGGAGCAGCCCAGAGUCUGAAUCAGCUUGUGUGUUAGUGGAACGGUCUGGAAAGUCCGACGGUACAGGGUGAUAGUCCCGUACACCAAAAUGCACAGGCUGUGAACUCGAAGAGUAGGGCGGGACACGUGGUAUCCUGUCUGAAUAUGGGGGGACCAUCCUCCAAGGCUAAAUACUCCUGACUGACCGAUAGUGAACCAGUACCGUGAGGGAAAGGCGAAAAGAACCCCGGCGAGGGGAGUGAAAAAGAACCUGAAACCGUGUACGUACAAGCAGUGGGAGCACCUUCGGGUGUGACUGCGUACCUUUUGUAUAAUGGGUCAGCGACUUAUAUUCUGUAGCAAGGUUAACCGUAUAGGGGAGCCGCAGGGAAACCGAGUCUUAACUGGGCGUUAAGUUGCAGGGUAUAGACCCGAAACCCGGUGAUCUAGCCAUGGGCAGGUUGAAGGUUGGGUAACACUAACUGGAGGACCGAACCGACUAAUGUUGAAAAAUUAGCGGAUGACUUGUGGCUGGGGGUGAAAGGCCAAUCAAACCGGGAGAUAGCUGGUUCUCCCCGAAAGCUAUUUAGGUAGCGCCUCGUGAAUUCAUCUUCGGGGGUAGAGCACUGUUUCGGCUAGGGGGUCAUCCCGACUUACCAACCCGAUGCAAACUACGAAUACCGAAGAAUGUUAUCACGGGAGACACACGGCGGGUGCUAACGUCCGUCGUGAAGAGGGAAACAACCCAGACCGCCAGCUAAGGUCCCAAAGUCAUGGUUAAGUGGGAAACGAUGUGGGAAGGCACAGACAGCCAGGAUGUUGGCUUAGAAGCAGCCAUCAUUUAAAGAAAGCGUAAUAGCUCACUGGUCGAGUCGGCCUGCGCGGAAGAUGUAACGGGGCUAAACCAUGCACCGAAGCUGCGGCAGCGACACUAUGUGUUGUUGGGUAGGGGAGCGUUCUGUAAGCCUGCGAAGGUGUGCUGUGAGGCAUGCUGGAGGUAUCAGAAGUGCGAAUGCUGACAUAAGUAACGAUAAAGCGGGUGAAAAGCCCGCUCGCCGGAAGACCAAGGGUUCCUGUCCAACGUUAAUCGGGGCAGGGUGAGUCGACCCCUAAGGCGAGGCCGAAAGGCGUAGUCGAUGGGAAACAGGUUAAUAUUCCUGUACUUGGUGUUACUGCGAAGGGGGGACGGAGAAGGCUAUGUUAGCCGGGCGACGGUUGUCCCGGUUUAAGCAUGUAGGCUGGUUAUCCAGGCAAAUCCGGAUAAUCAAGGCUGAGGUGUGAUGACGAGGCACUACGGUGCUGAAGUAACAAAUGCCCUGCUUCCAGGAAAAGCCUCUAAGCAUCAGGUAACAUCAAAUCGUACCCCAAACCGACACAGGUGGUCAGGUAGAGAAUACCAAGGCGCUUGAGAGAACUCGGGUGAAGGAACUAGGCAAAAUGGUGCCGUAACUUCGGGAGAAGGCACGCUGGUGUGUAGGUGAAGUCCCUGCGGAUGGAGCUGAGACCAGUCGAAGAUACCAGCUGGCUGCAACUGUUUAUUAAAAACACAGCACUGUGCAAACACGAAAGUGGACGUAUACGGUGUGACGCCUGCCCGGUGCCGGAAGGUUAAUUGAUGGGGUUAUCCGUAAGGAGAAGCUCUUGAUCGAAGCCCCGGUAAACGGCGGCCGUAACUAUAACGGUCCUAAGGUAGCGAAAUUCCUUGUCGGGUAAGUUCCGACCUGCACGAAUGGCGUAAUGAUGGCCAGGCUGUCUCCACCCGAGACUCAGUGAAAUUGAACUCGCUGUGAAGAUGCAGUGUACCCGCGGCAAGACGGAAAGACCCCGUGAACCUUUACUAUAGCUUGACACUGAACAUUGAGCCUUGAUGUGUAGGAUAGGUGGGAGGCUUUGAAGCGUGGACGCCAGUCUGCGUGGAGCCAACCUUGAAAUACCACCCUUUAAUGUUUGAUGUUCUAACGUUGGCCCCUUACCGGGGUUGCGGACAGUGUCUGGUGGGUAGUUUGACUGGGGCGGUCUCCUCCCAAAGCGUAACGGAGGAGCACGAAGGUUAGCUAAUCCUGGUCGGACAUCAGGAGGUUAGUGCAAUGGCAUAAGCUAGCUUGACUGCGAGCGUGACGGCGCGAGCAGGUGCGAAAGCAGGUCAUAGUGAUCCGGUGGUUCUGAAUGGAAGGGCCAUCGCUCAACGGAUAAAAGGUACUCCGGGGAUAACAGGCUGAUACCGCCCAAGAGUUCAUAUCGACGGCGGUGUUUGGCACCUCGAUGUCGGCUCAUCACAUCCUGGGGCUGAAGUAGGUCCCAAGGGUAUGGCUGUUCGCCAUUUAAAGUGGUACGCGAGCUGGGUUUAGAACGUCGUGAGACAGUUCGGUCCCUAUCUGCCGUGGGCGCUGGAGAAUUGAGGGGGGCUGCUCCUAGUACGAGAGGACCGGAGUGGACGCAUCACUGGUGUUCGGGUUGUCAUGCCAAUGGCACUGCCCGGUAGCUAAAUGCGGAAGAGAUAAGUGCUGAAAGCAUCUAAGCACGAAACUUGCCCCGAGAUGAGUUCUCCCUGAGACUUUAAGUCUCCUGAAGGAACGUUGAAGACGACGACGUUGAUAGGCCGGGUGUGUAAGCGCAGCGAUGCGUUGAGCUAACCGGUACUAAUGAACCGUGAGGCUUAACCUU